rnacentral:rRNA from 1 species
GCUCAGAUUGAACGCUGGCGGCAGGCCUAACACAUGCAAGUCGAACGGUAACAGGAAGCAGCUUGCUGCUUUGCUGACGAGUGGCGGACGGGUGAGUAAUGUCUGGGAAACUGCCUGAUGGAGGGGGAUAACUACUGGAAACGGUGGCUAAUACCGCAUAACGUCGCAAGACCAAAGAGGGGGACCUUCGGGCCUCUUGCCAUCAGAUGUGCCCAGAUGGGAUUAGCUWGUUGGUGAGGUAACGGCUCACCAAGGCGACGAUCCCUAGCUGGUCUGAGAGGAUGACCAGCCACACUGGAACUGAGACACGGUCCAGACUCCUACGGGAGGCAGCAGUGGGGAAUAUUGCACAAUGGGCGCAAGCCUGAUGCAGCCAUGCCGCGUGUAUGAAGAAGGCCUUCGGGUUGUAAAGUACUUUCAGCGGGGAGGAAGGUGUUGUGGUUAAUAACCGCAGCAAUUGACGUUACCCGCAGAAGAAGCACCGGCUAA